rnacentral:rRNA from 1 species
CCUACGGGGCGCAGCAGUGGGGAAUAUUGGACAAUGGGCGAAAGCCUGAUCCAGCCAUGCCGCGUGUGUGAAGAAGGCCUUCGGGUUGUAAAGCACUUUCAGUGGGGAAGAAAGCCUUGGGGCUAAUACCCUCGAGGAAGGACAUCACCCACAGAAGAAGCACCGGCUAACUCCGUGCCAGCAGCCGCGGUAAUACGGAGGGUGCGAGCGUUAAUCGGAAUUACUGGGCGUAAAGCGCGCGUAGGCGGUCUGAUAAGCCGGUUGUGAAAGCCCCGGGCUCAACCUGGGAACGGCAUCCGGAACUGUCAGGCUAGAGUGCAGGAGAGGAAGGUAGAAUUCCCGGUGUAGCGGUGAAAUGCGUAGAGAUCGGGAGGAAUACCAGUGGCGAAGGCGGCCUUCUGGACUGACACUGACGCUGAGGUGCGAAAGCGUGGGUAGCAAACAGGAUUAGAUACCUGGUAGUC